CUUAGAGUUUGAUCCUGGCUCAGGAUGAACGCUAGCUACAGGCUUAACACAUGCAAGUCGAGGGGCAGCAUGAACUUAGCUUGCUAAGUUUGAUGGCGACCGGCGCACGGGUGAGUAACACGUAUCCAACCUUCCGUUUACUCAGGGAUAGCCUUUCGAAAGAAAGAUUAAUACCUGAUAGUAUGGUGAGAUUGCAUGAUAGCACCAUUAAAGAUUUAUUGGUAAACGAUGGGGAUGCGUUCCAUUAGGUAGUAGGCGGGGUAACGGCCCACCUAGCCGACGAUGGAUAGGGGUUCUGAGAGGAAGGUCCCCCACAUUGGAACUGAGACACGGUCCAAACUCCUACGGGAGGCAGCAGUGAGGAAUAUUGGUCAAUGGGCGAGAGCCUGAACCAGCCAAGUAGCGUGAAGGAUGAAGGUCCUACGGAUUGUAAACUUCUUUUAUACGGGAAUAAAGUAUCCUACGUGUAGGAUUUUGUAUGUACCGUAUGAAUAAGCAUCGGCUAACUCCGUGCCAGCAGCCGCGGUAAUACGGAGGAUGCGAGCGUUAUCCGGAUUUAUUAAGUUUAAAGGGAGCGCAGACGGGAGAUUAAGUCAGUUGUGAAAGUUUGCGGCUCAACCGUAAAAUUGCAGUUGAUACUGGUUUCCUUGAGUGCAGUUGAGGCAGGCGGAAUUCGUGGUGUAGCGGUGAAAUGCUUAGAUAUCACGAAGAACUCCGAUUGCGAAGGCAGCACACUAAUCCGUAACUGACGUUCAUGCUCGAAAGUGUGGGUAUCAAACAGGAUUAGAUACCCUGGUAGUCCACACGGUAAACGAUGGAUACUCGCUGUUGGCGAUAUACUGUCAGCGGCUUAGCGAAAGCGUUAAGUAUCCCACCUGGGAAGUACGCYGGCAACGGUGAAACUCAAAGGAA
rnacentral:rRNA from 1 species